UGGGGAAUUUUGGACAAUGGGGGAAACCCUGAUCCAGCCAUCCCGCGUGUGCGAUGAAGGCCUUCGGGUUGUAAAGCACUUUUGGCAGGAAAGAGACGUCGCGGGUUAAUACCCCGCGAAACUGACGGUACCUGCAGAAUAAGCACCGGCUAACUACGUGCCAGCAGCCGCGGUAAUACGUAGGGUGCAAGCGUUAAUCGGAAUUACUGGGCGUAAAGCGUGCGCAGGCGGUUCGGAAAGAAAGAUGUGAAAUCCCAGAGCUUAACUUUGGAACUGCAUUUUUAACUACCGGGCUAGAGUGUGUCAGAGGGAGGUGGAAUUCCGCGUGUAGCAGUGAAAUGCGUAGAUAUGCGGAGGAACACCGAUGGCGAAGGCAGCCUCCUGGGAUAACACUGACGCUCAUGCACGAAAGCGUGGGGAGCAAACAGGAUUAGAUACCCUGGUAGUCCACGCCCUAAACGAUGUCAACUAGCUGUUGGGGCCUUCGGGCCUUGGUAGCGCAGCUAACGCGCGAAGUUGACCGCCUGGGGAGUACGGUCGCAAGAUUAAAACUCAAAGGAAUUGG
rnacentral:rRNA from 1 species